rnacentral:rRNA from 1 species
GUCGCCGCAUGCAGCAAGGGGGCGUUCACCCGCUUAGCAGAGUGGUUCAGGAAAUUGAGGAUAUUUUCAUUGGUAUGGGCUACCGUGUGGCUGAAGGUCCGGAAGUGGAGACCGAUUAUUAUAACUUUGAAGCCCUAAAUCUGCCUAAAAAUCACCCGGCACGUGAUAUGCAGGAUUCCUUUUAUUUAACGGAUGACCUGCUUAUGCGUACUCAAACGUCUCCGGUACAGAUUCGUACUAUGCAGGCUAUGAACGGUGAAGUUCCAGUUAAAAUCAUUUGCCCGGGUAAAGUAUUCCGCCGUGAUGACGACGAUGCAACGCAUUCCUUCCAGUUCCAUCAAAUUGAAGGUUUGGUUAUCGGAAGCAACAUUCGGAUGAGUGAUCUGAAAGGCACCUUGCAGCAAUUCGUACAAGAAAUGUUUGGCCCGAAUACAGACAUUCGUCUUCGUCCGAGCUUCUUCCCAUUCACCGAGCCAAGCGUUGAAGUGGACGUAAGCUGCUUCAAAUGUGGCGGCGAUGGCUGCAGACUGUGCAAGCAAAGCGGAUGGUUAGAAAUCCUUGGCGCCGGCAUGGUGCAUCCAAAUGUUCUGAAAAUGGGUGGCUAUGAUCCUGCUAAGUAUAGCGGCUUCGCAUUUGGUAUGGGGGUUGAACGGAUUGCUAUGCUUAAAUACGGCAUCGAUGACAUCCGUCAUUUCUAUAACAACGAUAUGAGUUUUGUAAAGCAGUUCAAGGGCGUUUAGAUUUUUGGUGGGCGAGCUGGCUGACGGGUUAGGAGUAAGUAGCAAUUGGGUUAAUGAUCUUGCUUAAUAAAAGACUAUUAAUAGAAGGAACGGAGAGAAAUUUUGGAACUGUAGAAGCGCCAGCGUUCGCCUUUAUCCUCGGAUUUCUACCGCGAGAAGUGGUUUUAAUCAGGAAAUCUGAGGAUAACAGCGAUCGGAAGUCCAAUAUUUUUCGUAGUGACUGCUCUAAAUAGGACGGUUAUGAAGCUUUGAUCGAGUAAUCCUAAAUUGUACUACUCCCACAGGAAGCAGAUCGAACGGCAAGUAGAUAAAUACAUCUGAA